GAUGAACGCUGGCGGCGUGCUUAAUACAUGCAAGUCGAACGAGGGCAUCCACGUAGCAAUACGAGGGUGUUCCUAGUGGCGAACGGGUGCGUAACACGUAGGCGACCUGCCCCGAAGUGUGGGAUAACACCGCGAAAGCGGUGCUAAUACCGCAUGAUCUCCCCGAGGUCAGAGUCUCGGUGAGCAAAGGCGAAAGCCGCUUUGGGAGGGGCCUGCGGCCCAUCAGCUAGUUGGUAGGGUAACGGCCUACCAAGGCAGCGACGGGUAGGGGGCCUGAGAGGGUGGCCCCCCACACUGGCACUGAAAUACGGGCCAGACACCUACGGGUGGCAGCAGUAGGGAAUAUUGGACAAUGGGCGAAAGCCUGAUCCAGCAACGCCGCGUGCGCGAUGAAGGCCUUCGGGUUGUAAAGCGCUUUUCGGGGGGAUGAGGAAGGACAGUACCCCCGGAAUAAGUCUCGGCUAACUACGUGCCAGCCGCCGCGGUAACAC
rnacentral:rRNA from 1 species